rnacentral:rRNA from 1 species
UACGUAGGGUGCGAGCGUUAAUCGGAAUUAUUGGGCGUAAAGGGCUCGUAGGCGGUUUGUCGCGUCGGGAGUGAAAUCAUCUGGCUUAACUGGGUGCUUGCUUUCGAUACGGGCAGACUAGAGGUAUGCAGGGGAGAACGGAAUUCCUGGUGUAGCGGUGAAAUGCGCAGAUAUCAGGAGGAACACCGGUGGCGAAGGCGGUUCUCUGGGCUUGAUCUGACGCUGAGGAGCGAAAGUGUGGGGAGCGAACAGG